rnacentral:rRNA from 1 species
UACGUAGGCAGCAAACGUUGUUCGGAAUCAUUGGGCGUAAAGAGCGUGUAGGCGGCCAGAUAAGUCCGCUGUGAAAACUCGAGGCUCAACUUCGAGCUGUCGGCGGAAACUAUCUGGCUAGAGUCCGGAAGAGGAGAGUGGAAUUCCUGGUGUAGCGGUGAAAUGCGCAGAGAUCAGGAAGAACACCCGUGGCGAAGGCGGCUCUCUGGGACGGUACUGACGCUGAGACGCGAAAGCGUGGGGAGCGAACAGG